rnacentral:rRNA from 1 species
UGGGGAAUUUUGGACAAUGGGGGCAACCCUGAUCCAGCCAUCCCGCGUGUGCGAUGAAGGCCUUCGGGUUGUAAAGCACUUUUGGCAGGGAAGAAACAGCCUGGGAUAAUACCCCGGGCGACUGACGGUACCUGCAGAAUAAGCACCGGCUAACUACGUGCCAGCAGCCGCGGUAAUACGUAGGAUGCAAGCGUUAAUCGGAAUUACUGGGCGUAAAGCGUGCGCAGGCGGUUCGGAAAGAAAGGUGUGAAUCCCAGGGCUUAACCUUGGAACUGCACUUUAACUACCGAGCUAGAGUACGUCAGAGGGGGGUAGAAUUCCACGUGUAGCAGUGAAAUGCGUAGAGAUGUGGAGGAAUACCGAUGGCGAAGGCAGCCCCCUGGGAUGAUACUGACGCUCAUGCACGAAAGCGUGGGGAGCAAACAGGAUUAGAUACCCUGGUAGUCCACGCCCUAAACGAUGUCAACUAGCUGUUGGGGUUUAUUAACCUUAGUAGCGCAGCUAACGCGUGAAGUUGACCGCCUGGGGAGUACGGUCGCAAGAUUAAAAC